rnacentral:rRNA from 1 species
UGCGUAGGCGGACUAAUAAGUCAGUGGUGAAAUCUCUCGGCUCAACCGGGAAACUGCCAUUGAUACUGUUAGUCUUGAGUUCGGUUGAGGUAGGCGGAAUGUGUAAUGUAGCGGUGAAAUGCUUAGAUAUUACACAGAACACCAAUUGCGUAGGCAGCUUACUAGACCGACACUGACGCUGAGGCACGAAAGCGUGGGUAGCGAACAGGAUUAGAUACCCUGGGUAGUCC